rnacentral:rRNA from 1 species
UGGGGAAUAUUGGACAAUGGGCGCAAGCCUGAUCCAGCCAUGCCGCGUGAGUGAUGAAGGCCCUAGGGUUGUAAAGCUCUUUCAACGGUGAAGAUAAUGACGGUAACCGUAGAAGAAGCCCCGGCUAACUUCGUGCCAGCAGCCGCGGUAAUACGAAGGGGGCUAGCGUUGUUCGGAAUUACUGGGCGUAAAGCGCACGUAGGCGGAUACUUAAGUCAGGGGUGAAAUCCCGGGGCUCAACCCCGGAACUGCCUUUGAUACUGGGUAUCUCGAGUCCGGAAGA